GACGAACAGCUCAGUAACUCUUAUUUUAUUUGAUGUAUUAGGAUUAUAACUAUGUUAAAUUAUAGAUAACAAUAAUACAAUAAGAAUAAGAUCUAUCAGUUAGUUGUUAAGGUAAUGGCUUAACAAGACUAUGACGGAUAACGGUAUUACUUUGUAAUAUUCCGGAGAAGGAGCCUGAGAGAUUGCUACUAAGUCUAAGGAUUGCAGCAGGGGCGAAACUUGACCUAUGAUAUGAUAUUGAGGCAGUUAUGAGUAGUAUUUUUAAUUAUUGUAGUAUUGUAAGUAUAUACUACAAGAUAAAUCGGAGGGCAAAUCGAGUGCCAGCAGCCGCGGUAAUACUUGUUCCGAUAGUGUGUAUGAUGAUUGAUGCAGUUAAAAAGUCUGUAGUUU
rnacentral:rRNA from 1 species